AAGGAAAAUCAUAUUUAUUUAUAAAAUAUACUUAUGUAAUAUAAAUAAUAUAUUCUUACUAGUACCUCAUGUUAAUAGAAAGGAUUAUUGAAAUACAUGUAUAAAAAUAAUAUUAAUAUAUUAAUUAGUUAUAUAUAGAACAAAAAUAUGUUUAU
rnacentral:RNase_P_RNA from 1 species